AACGAGCGCAACCCUUGCCUUUAGUUGCCAGCAGUUCGGCUGGGCACUCUAAAGGGACUGCCGGUGUUAACCGGAGGAAGGUGGGGAUGACGUCAAGUCCUCAUGGCCUUUAUGACCAGGGCUACACACGUACUACAAUGGCCGAUACAAAGGGCAGCGACACUGCGAGGUGAAGCCAAUCCCGUAAAAUCGGUCUCAGUCCGGAUUGGAGUCUGCAACUCGACUCCAUGAAGUUGGAAUCGCUAGUAAUCGUGGAUCAGCAUGCCACGGUGAAUACGUUCCCGGGCCUU
rnacentral:rRNA from 1 species